UCAAUACUUCUAUGCUGGGAUUAGUUACUAGUUCGAAUUUAAUACAAAUUUAUAUCUUUUGGGAAUUAGUUGGAAUGUGCUAGUAUCUAAAUCAGCAAAAUAGGAUGAUUCAACUAAUUGUUAAAUUGCACGGGAUGAACUGUUCCAUAAUCAUGCAAAUAAAGAUUUUGAUUGUUGUUGGAUCAUGCAUGCAAGAUAGGCAAAUUAAUUGUUGUUGAAUCAUGCAAGGAGCUUGUUCUUAAAAAUUGAGUAGCCACGAUAUAAGUAGAUAAUCUCAUAAUCAGCAACCACGAUAUAAGUAGGUAAUCUCAUAAUCAGCAAAAAGCUAUACUUGUUUAGUAACUCACCAUAAUUUCUUUUACUUGCUAAAAACAUUUUAACAAAAAAAAAAAAAAAAAAAAAUUUCUACAUUGUUUUUUAUUUUCUUCAUCACGAUACUUACUACUGUUGCUUCUCCACCUCCCUCUCUUACUAACCCUCCUCCUCCUCCUCCUCCUCCCCCAUCACCGGAUUUCGCAAUCUUGGCGCUACAAUGGCCCAAGGGGCUAUGUAGAGCCACAACAUGCAGUAAAGUCCCAACAGCCGGUCAGGGAUUCUCUUUGCACGGCGCAUGGCCUGUGGAUAGCACCAGUCAAUCCAAAUUAAGAUGCACCUCAGGGCCUAAUAACGCAAGUGCAUUACAGUUUCUUGCAAGUGACAUGGCCAUAUAUUGGCCAAGCUUUCAACAAAGCAACGCCAAUUUUUGGAGAUAUGAGUGGAGAAAACAUGGAUCUUGUUCAAGUUUACCACUUGUAACUUGUUUUCAAAACAGUAUAGACUUGACAAGAAGGCGUGCAUCCACACUUCUAUCAAGUCUGGUAAGAGCAGGUAUUAACCCUUCUCCCACUAUGGCAUAUCCUUUAAGACGAUAUUUGACGGGGAUAAGCAAUAGUGUUCAUAAUGACAGAAUUUUUCAAAUUAGAUGCAUGACAUCUUCCACCACCAAGUAUCUUGUGGAGAUUCGCAUCUGUGUUGACUGGCCGCUACGUAAUUUAAUCCGUUGCCCUGUAUCUGCCCGCAACAAAUAUCUUGGUUGUGGAAAUAAUUCAAAUAAUAUGAUUAUUUUGUAUACUCCCUAGUUAGAAUUAUAUUAGUCUAGGGUAAGAUUAACGAGUAAGAAGAUGUAAUAAGACUCAUAAAUAAUGUAGUUGUUAAAGUAGUUGAUCUGAUAAUAAACAUUUUCUGAAUGCUGGAA